rnacentral:rRNA from 1 species
CUGGCCUGCUCACUGACGGAGUUUUAAAGAGCCGCGGUAUUUUGACCGUGCAAAGGUAGCAUAAUCAUUAGUCUCUUAAUUAGGGGCUUGAAUGAAUGGCUUGACGAGAAAUCAUCUGUCUCUUAUUAAAUUCUAGAAAUUAACUUUUAAGUUAAAAGGCUUAAAUUUUUCUUUAAGACGAGAAGACCCUAUAGAGCUUAACAUUUUAUUUUUAUAUAAUUUUUAGUUGAUCUUUUUAUAUUUAAAGAUAAUGUUUUGUUGGGGUGACAUGAAGAAUAAAUAAACUCUUCAUUCUAAAAUCAUUAAUUUAUGUUUAAUAUGAUCCAUAAUUUAUGAUCAUAAGAUUAAGUUACCUUAGGGAUAACAGCGUAAUUGUUUUUGAGAGCUCAUAUUGACAAAGCAGAUUGCGACCUCGAUGUUGGAUUAAGAAUAAUUUUGGGUGCAGUAGCCCAAUAAUUAGGUCUGU